rnacentral:lncRNA from 1 species
GGCUCUGAGAGUAAGACCCUCCUCUCCCCCAGACGCGCCCACCUUCCGUCUUCUAGGGAGACCCGCUGCGCCAGAAACAGAGCCUUGGAGGACGAGAGGAUCGUGAGGUCUCCGGACCCAGCCCCGAAAGCCGGAGGUCCCUUCCCCUUUGGCGGAGCGGAGCUUGAAUUUCCAGGGCCAGCCCGGUGGCGCAGCAGUUAAGUGCACCUGUUCCGCUUCAGCGGCCCAGGGUUCUCUGGUUCAGAUCCUGGGUAUGGACAUGGCACUGCUUGACAAACCAUGCUGUGGAGCUGCGGCUGCCGCUGCCCAGCGUCACGCGAGAGGAUCAGACUGCAUAUCGCCAGCCCAAGAAAACGUCAAAAUUCAAAAUACGAAGUAUGGUUUCUACUAAAUGCGUAUUGCUUUUGCACCAUCGUUAAGUUGAAAAAUGAAGUUAUGUCUGGCGCUAGAGCAGUCAUCUUGGACCAUGAGGUAGAAGCCAUGCACUGAAGAUGAAGAAACCACAGAGAAGGCACCUGGUUUAUUUGUCUAUACCCAGGCUAAAAGGACACUAUCCUAAUUACUGUCGCUUUAAAAUAAACCACGAUAGCUGCUAGGGCAAGAGUGUGCACUUCUCAUCUUCCACCAUCUUUCCUGCUGGCUGCAGAAGUUAUGUCUGGCGCUAGAGCAGUCAUCUUGGACCAUGAGGUAGAAGCCAUGCACUGAAGAUGAAGAAACCACAGAGAAGGCACCUGGUUUAUUUGUCUAUACCCAGGCUAAAAGGACACUAUCCUAAUUACUGUUGCUUUAAAAUAAACCACGAUAGCUGCUAGGGCAAGUAUUCCCAUUUUAUUUUCCUCCUUUAACAGUGUCUGGGCUACUCUUGGUCCUUUGAACUACUGGAAUUUUAAAUCUGUCAACUGUGGUAAAGUGAAGAUGGUCAUAAAUUCUCUGACACUCCUCCUAUUGAGAGGUGGUCUAUUUGCCUUUCCCUUGAAUCUGGCUGGUCUUAGUGACUUAUGGUGGAAGCGGUGCUGUGUGACUUCUGAAACUGGGUCAGAAGAUGCCUUUCAGCUUCCACCUUGGUCUCUUGGAAAGCUCACUCUCCAGACACUCUCUCAAAUGACUCCCUCUCGGGUUACUCCCUCACCAUCCUGUGAGAUGUCCAGGUCACAUAGACAGGCCAUUUGUAGACGCUAUAAUUGACAGCUCCAGCUGUGUUUCUAGCCUCCAGCCAGAUUCAACAGCAUCAUGUGAGGGCGCCAUCUUAGACAGCCAGCCUUCAGAUGACUCCAGUCCUGUAGUCAACACCUGUCUGCAACCACAUUAGACGCUCUAAGAAAGGAUUAUCCAGCUGACCCCUUCCUGGAUUCCUAACCCACAAAAUUGUGAGCAAAAUAAAAUGAUUUUUAAGCCACUAAGUUUGGGGGUAGUUUGUUAUGCAGCAAUAGAUAACCAGAUUAUCAAAUUCUACUAAAAAAAAAGUGUUGAGAUUUGAUCAAGAUGCCAUUGAAUCUGUAGAUCGAGUUGAAGAAAACUGACACCUUUAUAAUAUUGAAUCUUUGAAUCCUUAACAUGGUAUAUCUUCUGUUUAUUUAGAUGUUCUUUAAUGCCUCUCUGUUUUAUAAUUUUCUCCCGAAAAGUCUGUGCUCGAGGCUUAUUGUGC